rnacentral:tRNA from 1 species
GCGUUGUUAGCUCAGCCUUUUUUUUUUGGACAGAGCAAUUGCCUUCUAAGCAAUCGGUCAGUGGUUCGACUCCACUACAACGCGCCA